GGGGCGUUAGCUCAGUCGGUUAGAGCAGGGGACUCAUAAUCCCUUGGUCGCAGGUUCGAGCCCUGCACGCCCUACCA
rnacentral:tRNA from 1 species